UAAAUCUAUUUGAAUCUAAAUUAAGUGUGGAGGAAGGUGGAGGAAGGUGGAGGAGGUUGCUGUCUUGUGAUCGUAGAGAUCUGGUGGAUGAAUGUGGAAUGAGAAGGUCCUUCAGAUAAUCUGGUGAGGUUCCGUUUAAACAUUGAUGUGUAAUGAGAGAGAUUUUGUACUGAAUUCUGUAGGUGACAGGAAGCCAAUGAAGGUCAUGCAGAACAGGUGUAAUAUGGGCAGAUUUACGGGCCCUCAAUGAAUCCUGGCUGCGCUGUUAUGAAUGUAUUGAAGCUUCUGAAGAUGUUUUUUAUGGAUUCCAGUGAACAGAGAGGUGCAGUAGUUGAGCCUGGAGGAGACAAAGGCAUGGACGAGAGACUCGGCAUCAGAGAAAGAGAGAGAUGGACGAAAUUUGGAGAUAUUGCGAAGAUGAAAGAAACAGGUUUUAAAUAGAUGUUUAAUGUGAUUUUCAAAUGUAAGAUGAGAAUCCAUUCUAACUCCAAGAUUUGUAACAGUGGUGGAAAGGGGGAUGUCUUGUCCAGAAAAGAAGCUUGUCGUCAAGGUGAACCUGGUGAGGUGUUCCGAUCAACAUGGCCUCAGUUGAUGACUUUUGUACUGAUAUACAAAAUAUCA